rnacentral:rRNA from 1 species
UACGUAGGGGUGCGAGCGUUGUCCGGAAUUACUGGGCGUAAAGAGCUCGUAGGUGGUUUGUCGCGUUGUUCGUGAAAACCGGGGGCUUAACCCUCGGCGUGCGGGCGAUACGGGCAGACUGGAGUACUGCAGGGGAGACUGGAAGUUCCUGGUGUAGCGGUGGGAAUGACGCAGAUAUCAGGAGGAACACCGGUGGCGAAGGCGGGUCUCUGGGCAGUAACUGACGCUGAGGAGCGAAAGCGUGGGGAGCGAACAGG